GCAUUGCACGCUUGUGCUGUACGUAGCGACGCUGCACAUGUGCUGUAUAGCAGUUUGCUGCCGGUGCUGCUCCAGCGCUGUAUGGACGGUGCUGGGAUCCCUCCAGCGCCGCUACAGGCGUGUUCGUGGCUGCUGCGGCACCGGAGGGAUCCCAGCACCGUCCGUAUGGCACUGGAGUGGCGCCAGCGGCAAACCUCUAUACAGCGCAUGUGAGGCGGCGCUACGUACAGUGCAUGCGUCAUACGUAG